AAUGACUUGGAACUUGGAAGCACUCAAAAGAGAUGGUCUCUUGGUUCAGAGAUAAGAUCACCUGCAAAUUAUUAGUUAUCGACAAAAAAAAAAAUGAAUUUAAUUUCUGUGUUCCGUAUCCAUCUACCUUUCCAAUGGCAAAUGUCCUGUUCAAGAGAAUAACCACCAGUCACACCGUCCAGUCUUCUUCCCACCUGUCCUUCCUAUAUAGUCCAACUCAUGACCCCAUUGCUUGUCCAUCACGCCCCCACAACUUCCCUCCCCAUUCCAAUACAUUUAUACUUCGUUUUGGCACCUGUUAUAUUUGUUGAAGUAUGUCAAAAUUGGAUCAGUCAUCAGAUGAUGCUAAGACUGUUUCCAAAGGUGCAUCUCUGAAAUUAAUUGUAUCUUUUCUGUUUGAGUGACCAUAUGUUUUACUCUCUUCUAUUGCUUCAAGAUGGAAAUAGUCGAGAUUCCAAGAUGAGUUUCUCAGAGGAUGAAGAGAAUUUAAUUGCCAGAAUGUAUAGUUUAGUGGGAAGGAGGUGGACACUGAUUGCCGGGAGAAUCCCAGGGAGAACAGCUAAAGAGAUUGAGGAGUACUGGACUUCAAGAUACUCAAGUGAAUGACCUGGUGGCUCUGUACAUAGCAAGCAAAUUUUGUAAACUAAUUUCUCUGUAAAUUGCAGCCUUUUGGUUCUCAAGCAGAUGUUCCAGCUUCGCUGUAUUCAAGGGCCAUGCCCAUGUUUCUCUAAGAUUGGAAUGAGUCUUCUUAUCUAAGAUUCUCCAUAA